rnacentral:rRNA from 1 species
GACGAACGCUGGCGGCAUGCCUAACACAUGCAAGUCGAACGAAACCUCCGGGCCUUGGUGCGCAGGUGUGCUUGACGCGUGGGAAGCUGCCCGUAGGUACGGAAUACCUCCCUGUAGGGUAUGCUCAUACCGGAUAGUCUCUUCGCACAAAAGAGUUAUCGCGUUUGGGUGGGGGCUCGUUGGAUUGGGUGGUUGGUAGGGUAAAAGCAUACCAUGGCGACGUUGCAUGGCUGGUGUGAGAGGAGGACCAUCCACACUGGGACUGAGACACGGCCCAGAGUCCUACGGGAAGGAGCAGUGGGGAAUAUUGGAGGAGGGGCGAAAGCCUGAUACAGCCAUGCCGGGUGAGUGAGGAAGGCCGUAGGGUUGUAAAGUCCUCUUAGCCGGGAUGAUAAUGACAGUACCGGGAGAAUAAGCACCGGCUAACUACGUG